AGACUUCACAGUCCUGCUCUUACUUGAAAAAUAUUUUAGAAGAUACCUUUCUUGUUCUAUUAGCACUACUUCAUCUAUGAUCAGCUCUGGUGUGAAGGAAACUACAAGCUGGGAAAGCAAUUUCCCAAAUAAAUGAGGAGAAAGGAAAAUAUCCACAUUAUUGCAAGCUGAAUUUUUAAAUUUCAGAUCACAGGAACUGCUUUGAGUUAAAUAAGAACACAGAAAGCAGAGACUUCUUCCAAAGAAAUAAAACUUCAAAAAAAAAAAAAAAACAGAUGACAACACAGAAAAUUGCCUUCAAAAGGGCAUAAUAUAUUAUCUGAACAAUAUACAGUACCUUAUCUAAAUUGAAUAGUUUUAUCCUGCAACCAUUUAUGGAAAAGCAGAGUACAGAAUGAGCACUGAAAGUUUGUAUAGCUCCUCUUCCCUUUCUCAUCUUUGCUUCAAACACGAGAACAAAAGGCUAAGAGCAAUAAACUAAAGAGCUGAAAAAAUCUACACUGUAAAGAAGUAAUUCAAAGAACAAGGAAGAAAGAAAUACAAGAGGAGGAAGGGAACAAAGAGAGGACAAAGGAAGCAGAACAAGGGAAACAAGUGUCCUAUCAUUCUCAAGAUACUGUUAUGUGUCUACAUGUAAACCAGGUUGCUGGUGACUAACACAAUAAACUGUUCGUAGCAUGCUGAAAUUGUCACUUGACCACUUCAUUGUCCCUUAUUUUUUGCUUUCUCCUGUCCUAUAUUUUUCUUUCUUCCUUUUUCUUUCUGCCUGUAAUUCCUGUAUGCUGUCUAACACCAUGAUAUUUAAAAGCCUCUGUCUACCCUUUGCUGCCAAUUGCUAUUGUUUUUGCCUCACUACAGCUAAGCUCAUUGAAUUGCUUUGGAAAGAGCUCAAACUCCUAUCCAAACCUCUGGAGGCAACACAACAAAGCAGAGAGAGACCACAGCCAAAAGUGAGAGAAGCCUGGGCCAAAGAUGCUGAUUUUCUAUGUCAUGAUGGUGUCCCAUGGCCCCUGUGAAGUUUGGCUCCCUGUUGUACUACUCUUCCAGAAGCAGAGAAGAAGAAACAAUCUCUGUGCCAAAGAGCUUGCAAGUAAGCAAGUCCUCUGUGGUAGAUAAUUUUUCCUUAAUGAGCACGUGUACCUUCAUACUGCCCAGGUUCCUGUUAGGUUACUAAAUCAUUCUUCCAGCCUCCUGCCUUCUUGCUAUACACCAACAUGGAUUUUGGAGACUGGAGCUUCAAACUUCAUCAGAGUUACGCUAUGUCUGAAUUCUAGCCAAAAGAUAGCACUCAAAAUGAAUAAGACAUAUCAAGGUAGAACCUGUUCAGAGGACAGAAUGUGAUAAAAGAAUUAGCAAUUUUGAAAAAAAAAAAUGCAGUUAAAGAUGAAAACAAAGAAAUAAUAUUGGCAAGUGGAAAACCAUUUCAAACAGGUUUAUUAAGGUAAGACUGAUUGAACUCCUCCCCUUCCCCUCAUUCUGGCCCAGUUUUGGUACUUAAGAGGCAUAGAAUUACAAUUCGCUACUUGAUUUUUUUUGUUUGUGUGUGGGAGUACUUGGUUACCGUAGAAUCAUGGAAUGGCUUAGGUUGGAAGAGAUAUUAAAGAUCAUCCUGCUUCAAACUCUCUGUCAUGGGCACAGUUGCCACCCAUCAGAUCAGGCUGCCCCGGGCCCCAUCCAACCUGUUUUUGAACACCUCCAGAGUUGAGACAUCCAUGCUUUCUCUGGACACCCUGUGCCAGCACCUCACCACCCUCUGUGUAAAGCAUUUCCUCCUAACAUAAACAGGUCAGAAUUAAAAAUUUAUAAAUAAAUUGAUAAUGAAUUAAGGAUAGUUAUUUUAG
ensembl:lncRNA